CUUACCAUGGAACAUGGUCUGCGGGAGGCGGGCUUGGUCAUGAUGACCGCAACUGCAGCAGGAGCACGCUCUCACCGCCCAUAGUCACUCCCAGGACCCUGGUCUUCCGCGGAGUUACCGGGAGUCCGCGCCGGGUUCGAUCUCCAAGUUAAUCACUGGGGCGCCUUCACAGCACCCCCCGCCUCCCUUCUCCUGGUCACCUGCGUCCUCCCCGAGCGCUUCCCGUGCGCCUGGACCAGAGGAGCGCGCGGAUUCCCAAAGCACCGCAGGAGCAAUGACUUGGUCUUCUGAUUCCGGGCGAUUUGAGGCAAAAGACUUCCCAGAUGACCUCUAGCCGCCUUGGCAAAGUUAGGCGACUAGGAUCUAAAAGCAUCGGUUGCUAAUGAGUCCACAGAAGCCGCAAAUGUGUGGGGCGAGAGCUGGGUUAUUAGCGGGAGCCAGCGAGGAGGCGUAGCAGCUCUUGCCGCAGAUGUGGUGGUGGACGAUGCCAAGCCCUCUUGCUUAAAAAAAAAAAAAAAAAGGAAGUAAAGAAUGAUGAAUGAUUAAGAGGGCCAUGGGCCACUCCCUCGGCCUCUCUAACCUCUCUUGGUCUCUUUCCUCUCUGUCUUUUGUACAUGCACCUGCCCAGGUGGGAUCUCAAAGGAAAAUAAAACGGUGGGUCAGUCUCCUCUGGUGAGAGCUAUCUUUGGACCUAGAAAUUAAAGCCCAAAUUAGGCAGAGAAAGUGGAGACUGAUAAUAGCUCCUAAUAAUGUCUCCCACUUGUGCUACCACUAAAUUGGUUAAUAAAUCAAAUUAUCCAUCUUGA